rnacentral:rRNA from 1 species
GAUGAACGCUAGCUACAGGCUUAACACAUGCAAGUCGAGCGACCGGCGCACGGGUGAGUAACACGUAUCCACCCUGCCCUUUACUCGGGGAUAGCCUUUCGCAAGAAACAUUAAUACCCGAUAUAAAGGAUGGGGAUGCGUUCCAUUAGGUUGUUGGUGAGGUAACGUCUCACCAAGCCUUCGAUGGAUAGGGGUUCUGAGAGGAAGGUCCCCGACAUUGGAACUGGGACCCGGUCCAAACUCGUACGGGAGGCAGCAGUGAGGAAUAUUGGUCAAUGGGCGCUAGCCUGAACCAGCCAAGUAGCGUGAAGGAUGAAGGCUUAUGGGUCGUAAACUUCUUUUAUAUAAGAAUAUGUAUUAUAUGAAUAAGGAACGGCUAACUACGGGCCAGCAGCCGCGGUAAUAC